AAUUACAGGCAGGAGCUGCAGGAGGCCCCAGGGCUGACAUGGAAACAGCUGAACCUCCUCAGAAAUGGGGGUGCAAGAAGUGCUGGGAUGGGAUGUGCAUACACAAGCGGCUCUCAGCAGAGCCAGGUGUAACCACCAGCUUCCAACUUGUUUUCCAGACUGGGGCAAAUUGGGCUUUUGAAUGAUUUGCCGUGCCACAAGGUCAAAUAUCAAGGCUCAUACGCAACUCGAAAUGGGGUUUUGCCUUUUGGCACGCAGGACGGAUUGCCGGCUGCAGCUCAGAACAACAUUUCAAAGACAAAAAUCAGUUGACGCAUCAUAUUUCUCAAGCGACGACACUUAAUAAACGGCCUCUGGGUCAAGUAUUAAAGCUCUGAA